UCUAAUAACCUAAUGUAGCUGCAAAUUUUUCGUGUGCCCUCAAAAGCAUCUGACGCAGUGGCCUGAUUGUUCGCAGAAGCAGCGGAUUCACUGGCAGGAGCAUCGCGUCGCAAUAUUUUUAUCGGCACUUAAGUAUUACUAGGAGCGGAUUCGUCAUUGUAAGUUACGACUAUUUUUAAUUGAGAUUCCUCUCUCUCGAGGCGUUUGUGUAUCGUUAUGUUGUAAAAUCAGCAUCGGCGAAAUUAGUGUACUCUUCGGUCUUUAAUUCGAUUCUGUAGUCGCGAGGGAGAUCCUCAUAAAAUGCUUCGAGAGCAUACGAAUCGAUAGAAGAAAUUUUGGAAUCGAUUAAGGUCGAGAUUUACUUGAUCACCCUCUGCUAUAGCUAUUCGCAAAUUCUUCAUUCGCCUUAUAUAAUCAAUUAAGUAUAUGUUUCCUAGGUUUCUUGUACGCGAUGCUAAGCUCUACCCGAUAAUAAUCAGCGCUUCUACCAGGACCGAAUAUUCUUUUGAGAAUCUCUAAAAAUUUAGUAACAGUAAAGUGAGUUUCGUCUUCUAUAGCAAAAUAUGCAUGAUGCGAUAAUUUAUUCCUUAACAUUUGCACGAAUAAUGCCUCACCAACUAAAGGUAUUGAAUCUUUUGUUUUCUUGCACGCGCAAAUUGCCACACUGUAAUAUUAUGCCCGUCAUAAUAUGAUCCCAUUUCGGAACGAGAUCAUGAGAUGCAAUGUACGAUUUCGGAUAAAUGGAGUAAGCGGCAGCAAACGUCGUAUCUGGAAGUAAAUUGGAGGAUAUGAUCUUUUUUGGAGAACGCUGGAGAUCUGGGUUCAACUCCCCCAACAUUUAAAAUAAUUUUUUGUAAUUAGUAGAUUCUUUUUGGGUAAACACAAGCUCAUCUUUCUUCCUCUUCUUUCUUCCUGGGCAGAAAAGGAAGAAAGAUUAACUAGUGCAAAA